GACGAACGCUGGCGGCGCGCUUAACACAUGCAAGUCGAACGGAAAGGCCUGCUUUCCCUUGUGGAUUGCGGGUACUCGAGUGGCGAACGGGUGAGUAACACGUGAGUGAUCUGCCCCCAACUUGGGUAUAAGCCUGGGAAACUGGGUCUAAUUCCCGAUAGGACUGCAGGGUGGUGCCUGUGGUGGAAAACGAUUUUCUAGUGGUUGGGGAUGAGCUCGCGGCCUAUCAGCUUGUUGGUGGGGUAAUGGCCUACCAAGGCGGCGACGGGUAGCCGGCCUGAGAGGGUGGACGGCCACAUUGGGACUGAGAUACGGCCCAGACUCCUACGGGAGGCAGCAGUGGGGAAUAUUGCACAAUGGGCGGAAGCCUGAUGCAACGACGCCGCGUGGGGGAUGACGGCCUUCGGGUUGUAAACUCCUUUCGACCGCGAGGAAGCCACCUGGUUGGAAGGGUGGUGACGGUAGUGGUAGAAGAAGCACCGGCUAACUACGUG
rnacentral:rRNA from 1 species